CACCGGUGGCGAAAGCGGCUCUCUGGUCUGUAACUGACGCUGAGGCUCGAAAGCGUGGGGAGCGAACAGGAUUAGAUACCNUGGUAGUCACGCCGUAAACGAUGAGUGCUAGGUGUUAGGUCCUUUCCGGGACUUAGUGCCGCAGCUAACGCAUUAAGCANUCCGCCUGGGGAGUACGACCGCAAGGUUGAAACUCAAAGGAAUUGACGGGGGCCCGCACAAGCGGUGGAGCAUGUGGUUUAAUUCGAAGCAACGCGAAGAACCUUACCAGGUCUUGACAUCCCGAUGCCCGCUCUAGAGAUAGAGCUUUACUUCGGUACAUCGGUGACAGGUGGUGCAUGGUUGUCGUCAGCUCGUGUCGUGAGAUGUUGGNNNNNNNNNNNCAACGAGCGCAACCCUUAUUGUUAGUUGCCAUCAUUCAGUUGGGCACUCUAGCGAGACUGCCGGUAAUAAACCGGAGGAAGGUGGGGAUGACGUCAAAUCAUCAUGCCCCUUAUGACCUGGGCUACACACGUGCUACAAUGGCUGGUACAACGAGUCGCAAGCCGGUGACGGCAAGCUAAUCUCUGAGAGCCAGUCUCAGUUCGGAUUGUAGGCUGCAACUCGCCUACAUGAAGUCGGAAUCGCUAGUAAUCGCGGAUCAGCACGCCGCGGUGAAUACGUUCCCGGGC
rnacentral:rRNA from 1 species